GACAGAGGUGCCGAGCGUUAGGCGGAAUCACUGGGCGUAAAGGGUGCGUAGGCGGGUCUUUAAGUCAGGGGUGAAAUCCUGGAGCUCAACUCCAGAACUGCCUUUGAUACUGAAGAUCUUGAGUUCGGGAGAGGUGAGUGGAACUGCGAGUGUAGAGGUGAAAUUGUAGAUAUUCGCAAGAACACCAGUGGCGAAGGCGGCUCACUGGCCCGAUACUGACGCUGAGGCACGAAAGCGUGGGGAGCAAAGCAG
rnacentral:rRNA from 1 species